rnacentral:rRNA from 1 species
AAGUAGGGGAUCGCAAGACCUUGCGCUUUUGGAGCGGCCGAUGUCUGAUUAGCUAGUUGGUGAGGUAAAGGCUUACCAAGGCUUCGAUCAGUAGCUGGUCUGAGAGGACGACCAGCCACACUGGGACUGAGACACGGCCCAGACUCCUACGGGAGGCAGCAGUGGGGAAUUUUGGACAAUGGGGGCAACCCUGAUCCAGCCAUGCCGCGUGAGUGAAGAAGGCCUUCGGGUUGUAAAGCUCUUUCAGCCGGAACGAAACGGUUACGGUUAAUACCCGUGACUAAU